rnacentral:tRNA from 1 species
GGGGCAUUAGCUCAGUUGGGAGAGCGCUACACUGGCAGUGUAGAGGUCAGCGGUUCGAGCCCGCUAUGCUCCACCA